rnacentral:rRNA from 1 species
UACGGGGGGGCAAGCGUUGUUCGGAAUUACUGGGCGUAAAGGGCUCGUAGGUGGCCAACUAAGUCAGACGUGAAAUCCCUCGGCUUAACCGGGGAACUGCGUCUGAUACUGGAUGGCUUGAGUUCGGGAGAGGGAUGCGGAAUUCCAGGUGUAGCGGUGAAAUGCGUAGAUAUCUGGAGGAACACCGGUGGCGAAGGCGGCAUCCUGGACCGACACUGACGCUGAGGAGCGAAAGCCAGGGGAGUAAACGGG